CCAGCUGGGUUGUUUGGCCCUGAUGCCCUGCAGAAGGUUGAAUCCGUCUGUGGUCUUGGGGCAUCUGGGCAAGGUGAGCGCUGAAACGUACCACACACAGAGGAGCAGCGAACGCACCACACACCCCCUCAGCAUGGCCUGCAGGGGGCGCCACCCAUCCUGAAGCCCCACUGCGGCCACAAGACUGGGUUAAUCCUGCUUUUGACCGCGUUUAGCCCUGGUUUAGACCAGGUUCAGUCCUGGUUUAGACCUGGUUUAGACCAGGUUCAGUCCUGGUUUAGACCUGGUUUAGACCAGGUUUAGACCUGGUGUAGUCCUGUUUUAGACCUGGUUUAGUCCUGGUUUAGUCCUGUUUUAGAUCUGGUUUAGUCCUGGUUUAGAUCUGAGUUAGACCCAGGUUGGGCUCAUUCAGACUUCAUGUUAUUUUAGUCCUGACAUAAUCCCAGUUUGUGUCAAAAUAAAUCCCAGGCACAGCUCCGGUUCAGAUCUCAUUUAAUCCUGGUUCGGACCUGCUGUAGUCCUGGUUAAAUCCCAGUUUAGUCCUGGUUAAAUCCUGGUUAAAUCCCGGUUUAGUCCUGGUUAAAUCCCAGUUUAGCCCUGGUUAAAUCCUGGUUAAAUCCCGGUUUAGUCCUGGUUAAAUCCCGGUUUAGUCCUGGUUAAAUCCUGGUUUAGUCCUGGUUAAGUCCAGGUUUAGUCCUGGUUAAGUCCAGGUUUAGUCCUGGUUAAAUCCUGGUUUAGUCCUGGUUAAAUCCUGGUUUAGUCCUGGUUAAAUCCUGGUUUAGUCCUGGUUAAAUCCCGGUUUAGUCCUGGUUAAAUCCUGGUUUAGUCCUGGUUAAAUCCUGGUUUAGUCCUGGUUAAAUCCAGGUUUAGUCCUGGUUAAAUCCUGGUUCAGGUCUUCUGUGGAUCGUUCACAUUUUUAAAUCUCUAUUAAACGUGUCCAGACUUGAAGCUGUAAACCAUGUGAACUCUCUCUCCUCUUUCCAUCUCUCUGCUCUAUCUCUCCUCUCUCUUUCUCCUCUCUAUCUCUUGCUCCUCCCUCUCUCUAUCUCUAU
ensembl:lncRNA